AGCACCAUUCCUCUCCUCCAUCAGAGGUUGACGACCUGAAAAGCAUCAUGGUACGCAACAUCAGUGAGAUAAGACUCCACUCCUACAUCCACCACUACCGCUGUAUUAGGGGCUAGGGGAGAAGUGUCUAGGGUCUGAGGAUUUAUUUUAGUGUCUUGUGUUUACUCUGUGUUUCCUACAGACUUGGUGGCUCAGAGGGGAGAGAUGUUGGAGUUGCUGAUUGAUAAAAUGGAGAACCUGGUCGGCUCAUCUGUGAGUUUUAAGACCACCAGCCGUAACCUGGCCAGAGACAUGUGUAUGAAGAACCUCAAACUGACUGUCGUCGUAGUGGUGGUGUCACUGGUGGUCCUGUAUGUAGUUGUGUCUGCAGCCUGCGGAGGACUCAGCUGGCCCAACUGCAUCAGGAAAUAAGAGAGGGGGGGGG